CGUAGGCACCAAGCGUUGUCCGGAUUUAUUGGGCGUAAAGAGCUCGUAGGCGGUUCGGUAAGUCGGGUGUGAAAACUCUGGGCUCAACCCAGGAGAGGCCACCCGAUACUGCCGUGACUGGAGUGCGGUAGGGGAGGUGGGAAUUCCUGGUGUAGCGGUGAAAUGCGCAGAUAUCAGGAGGAACACCAGUGGCGAAGGCGCCACUCUGGGCCGUAACUGACGCUGAGGAGCGAAAGCGUGGGUAGCAAACAGGAUU
rnacentral:rRNA from 1 species